rnacentral:lncRNA from 1 species
UUGCUUGUUAUGUCUUUCUGUAUAAGAUUCAGUCUUCUUGGUUGAGAGAUUGUUUGGUCACUUAUUAGGCUUGAUGCAUUAUGCUUGCUGAUUGCUUGAUUAUAUCUAAUGGUUGUUAGACUUGAUUAAGUGAUUUGCAAAGGGAUUAUUAUCAUGGGAAUGAAUUAAUCUGAUUAAGAAGCCUAGACUAAAGAGUAGCAAGUGUUGCAUUAUGUUCUUAGCAUCAUGAUUCAAUAUCUAAAGCACCCUAAUCAAUGAUCACAUCUAGAGGUUUAGCUUUUAUCAUUUG